UAUCACUUAAGUGGUUUACAAGCAAUUGCGCACUAAAUCUUCCAGAACCUCUUUGACGCAGUGUAUUUACUAUCCCCGUUUUACAGAAGAGAAGCGGAGCGUCGGAGGGAUUGAGAGCCCAGUCUGCGACGUGCCGGGUUGCAGCAGGGACAGCGGUGACGCGGAGAAGGGAGGUCGGUCCUUCUGCGAGCUGGCUGCAGGACAUUUGCCCAAGGUCGUGUAGGGGCAGAGGCAGAAGAAGGCUCUCCAGAUGUCCUGCUUUCAGACCCAGACUUGAGUGCCAGCUCGGUGUAGUCAGCGCGACGCACUGCCGCUGAAAGUCUCGCUCUGUUCGUGAAUCCUGAUGGAACUGAUAAUACGAACGUGGAAUUGAGCCCUGCCUGAGGAUUGCGUUCCAUAAAUUCCUGGGAAUCUCGCAGCGUUCUGGAGCAGAUACCGGUGUCUGCAAUCGGCAGGUGCUGCUGGUCUUCAAGGUCUUCAUCCAAUGUUCAGAGAAGUCCAUGGAAAGAAGGUACUCCAUUGCUUGAAAGAGCAUUCGAUUCAAACCCGACUGAGAAUUCCUGCAGCAAAGCUUAACUUAGAAGAAGUGAUCAAAAAUAAAAACUCAGCAGCUACUACCACACUUUGCAGAUGGAACCAGAAGAAAACCUCUGCAUCUCUGCAAACCUCUGCAUCUCUGCAAACCUCUGCAUCUCUGCAAACCUCUGCAUCUCUGCAAACCUCUGCAUCGGCUCUGACAGAAGGUGCAGAUGAGAAAAAGAGCACAAGGAAAUCACAGAAUGGUUGAGGUUGGAAGGCACCUCUGGAGACCGUCUAGUCCAACCCCCUGCUCAAGCAGGGUCGCCUAGAGCACGUUGCACAGGAUCUCAUCCAGGCUAAACAGGCCCAGGUCUCUCAGCCUCUCCUCAUAGGGAAACUACGACUCUAUUUAGGGAAGGAGUCAUCUUCCACUGUGCCCACCCAUUCUGUCCUUCCAGUUGAAGAAUGCACGUUACCUGGAGGUGGAAAUGGGACGUGCGGGCACGCUGUGACGCACCGGUUGUGCAUCUCGUCCUGCGGUGGAGAACAUCCUGCGAGAUGGAGCCUGGUCUAGCUUCCCGCUGGCUGGGACACCACCGGGACUUUGCAGAAGUCCCUCCUUCUCCAAGCAAGCCCUAAGUGUGUGGCUGCCGUUCCUGCAGACACUGACCCUACUUGCCCAGAUGCGUUGCAAUGGACAAAUACUGCUCUCGACCACCUUCUCCUGUGCUUCUCCACGUUAAAUGUGGCAGGCUGAAAAGUAGUUCAUUAGCAAGUGAUGCCCUGGGCUUAUGAGGAAUGCUUGAAAAAAACUGUAUUCAUGAGAAUUAAUCAUGGGAAGUUUCUAAUCUUUCUCCUGCUCCAGGCCAAGUGCAGAUGUGUUUGUUCUUCAGAGAGAUUAUUCAGUGGAGCGAGGAACACUGCCUGCCUCCCCUUAAACUGAGCUUUCCCCAACUAUCUUCUUAGAUAUUUUUGAAUGAAAAUUCUCCAGUGUCCUCACCACACCAAAAUAAGAAAUACUGUCUCAGAGCUGUAGCUCAGUGCCAUAUGGUCAGUUAACAAGAACUGCAGCAGCAGACAAUACUAAGCAAUGGGAAAAUGGACCAGUUAUAAGGUAAAAGGAUAUUUGGCGAAUUUUUCCAUUGCUCUGCUUCUGUGAAGUUCUUCCGAAACCCAGCUGUAGUGCUGACCAUCGCACUGUACUUGGAGACCAGAUCCAAGAGAGGAUUUGGGGCCCAUCUGCACUGGCAAAUGACUUCCCUCCCUCGUUUGCGCUUGGUCACGACUGUCUGAUUGUCCGCACUAGACUGUCUUUUGAAGUAAGCCAACUAGUUCCCUGCAAGAAGAAACUCUCCAGGACCUGCUAUCACAGAAGAUGUUAGAAGACAAUAAGCUCUGAACUACGUGCUCUGACUUGGAUCUUGACAUUAAAAGUACAAGACUCGAGUCAAAGCUGUGCUCGGUGUUGGCUGAGGGAUGUGGCCCGGUGAGACAGACGGCAGGGCGAGGGUGAGAGAUCUGAGCUCGCUUCAAGCAGCGAGCAGAGGAGCAAGCAGCAGCCCAGCCGUCCACCGCAAAGCCCGGGGCAAGCCGGGGCAGCUCGCCAGCGCCGUGCCUUCCCUCUGUGCCUGGAGCACAGGCUUCUCCUGCAAAGGUUGGGAAGAGGGAUUCUCCCUGCGGGGAGAAAGACGAAAAACGAGGGAUGCGCAUAAUUAUAUGGCAACUUUGUUGAUUUUCCUGGAAAUGCUACCUGACAGCUAGUCGUGCCGGGCACGCCGUGGUUUGUCCCUUCAUCUCUGCCAUCUGCUCGGGGCGGUUGCCCUCGUCCCUGCGCACGCCCGAAAGAAGAAAUGUCGUUGUCUUCGUUCUGCUGCGUUUCGUGGGCAACGCCUGAUCCCCCUGUGCCACUGCCGCCUGCGCUGGGCUGCUGUCACAGGCUGCUGAGAAGACGUGACUUGAAGGAGACGUAGACGUGGACCUCGCUGGGAGGUGCACGACACCCCGCAACACUUCGGUUCAGCUCCUCAGUUAGAAAUCCCAUUUGAGGCUAACCAAGAAACCAAAAAACGUGAGGUUUGAAGAAACCUUGAUCUGUCUCAUGCACAGGUGAGACAAAGUGGCCGUGGGACUCGUACUCCAAAAUUCGCAGCAGCAGACUCUUUAAUACUGUUGACACAUGUACUAUAAUUUACUGCUUUCUCAUAAUGAAACACGUUCAGAUGCUGGUGAAAAAAAACCUUCAACCUGUUUUGACCCUGUGAAAGGUCAAAAGAAAAAGCUAGCUGAUUCAACACUGCUUUUUUUCCCAAGGAUAAUGAUCCAGCACAGAAGAAAACAGCAGGACUGGAGCCAAGGAGAGGAGCAGAGCGAGCGAGUAACGACAGCACAAAUCAGCAGUAAAGAAGCAGUCUGCUGCAGCACCUGCACCGAGGGCCCGGGGCCGGGGCGGAGAGCGGCAGAGGGAUCGCGUGGGGAGCACCAUAUGCACCGAGCGCUAAAAGGCUGGCGGCAGCGAUUUACGCUGUCCUAUAGAUCGGCGGAAAUGUGCCUGUCCUUGAGGAAGGUCAAAGAGAGAGAGGAAUUUCUGAGUCUGCUGAGCCUGUUCCAGAAGAAAAUAUAUUGUGUAGCUGGAAGCAAAACCGGUCGUUAAAGCCAUCACAUGGGAGGCAGGGCCCAGAUUAAGGGCCCUUCACUGAGUCAGACAGAUGAGAACAAGCCAACAUCCAGAAGGUAACUUAUGGUGGACGAUCAGAAGCACACUGCUUUUUUUCCCGUUUUCAAAGGGCAGCUGAGAUAAGAAUUAUUCCUGGGUUGUAAGAACUUCAGUAACUUGAGGAUUAAAAAUAAUUCCCAGGUAUACGGCUAAAAUUUCCAAUCAAGUCAUUAAUGUGGGUGGAAAGGAGUCUGCCUGGGAGAAGAGGACGGCAGAGGACGGCCAGAAAGGGGUAUCCGUGAAGAAGGCCGCGCUUCCAGAAGUUCCUCGGUGCUCCCUGCUUGUAUAUACGCCUUACCUGUCACUUUGUCCUCUGCAUUUGUCAUCGUGAUAAUCAAAAGGGAAAGGGAUGUCUCGCAUGCGUUCAAAAGUCAGGCAAAGUCCCCGAAGCGUGAAGGGAGGCAGACCGUCCCCGCACACCCAGUCAGCUGAGAAACCCUCUCAGAUGGCCUGGAAUGGGAUCCCCCAUGUUCUCCUCCUAAUCUAAGAAGACAAGAAAACAAACAAGCAAAAUGUCUGUGAUGGUAUUAAUUGGCUGCCUCGUAAGGUG